GCUAAACGUUGGAGAAGACUGAUCAGUUUCAUUAAUUAAAUCUUCAGUCCAGAUUUCUCCUUUGAGUUCCGUGAAAACGAUGAACAUGGUGGAUGUGAAUUCGUGUACAAAGUUUAGAAAUGAAAUACAUAUGGAAUGAAAUACGACAAACCCUCUUGGUGUUUAAUUCAGCUAAAUGCAUCAGUUGCAGUUAGAUGUGACCAUGUGAUCGUGUUCUGGCAAACAGGAAGGUAAGUGGAA